UAAGACGAACCGUGCGAACGUUAUUCGGAAUCACUGGGCUUAAAGCGCGUGUAGGCGGCCCGGCGCGUCAGACGCUGAAAUCCCCCGGCUCAACCGGGGAAGGGGCGGUGAUACGGCCGGGCUGGAGGGGGGUAGGGGGAUCGGGAACUUCCGGUGGAGCGGUGAAAUGCGUUGAGAUCGGAAGGAACGCCCGCGGCGAAAGCGCGGUCCUGGACCCCACCUGACGCUGAGACGCGAAAGCCAGGGGAGCGAACGGGAUUAGAUACCCCGGUAGUCCUGGCCGUAAACCAUGAGCACUGGGUAGGGGGCUCGCCGAUGGGCUCCCUGCCGCAGCGAAAGCGUGAAGUGCUCCGCCUGGGGAGUAUGGUCGCAAGGCUG
rnacentral:rRNA from 1 species